ncrna:unclassified sequences Rhodo-rpoB RNA
GGUUCGGGAGCUAAAGUCGGGAACUUUGGCAAGAAUAGAACCUAAAGCGUGUUUCGUUGGCUUUAAACGUCGGUGCCCGACGACAGUUUAA